rnacentral:rRNA from 1 species
CUUUCCUUUCCUGCCGUCUUGCUCGCGGUUACCUUGUUACGACUUUUACUUCCUUCUUUUUGGAAGUAAAGUCGUAACAAGGUUUCCGUAGGUGAACCUGCGGAAGGAUCAUUA